GUUUUACAAGAGAUGACCUUGUGACACAGCUUAAUGCUUUGAAGGUCCCCCACAAGCUUUCAAUGUAUUUGGAUGAAUUUGUUCGUAUCAAAACUGGGUUGCAGAUCAUCAUUCAUGUUGGCCUACUCAGAAAGGGUUUAUGCUCAGUUCAGGAUGAGAUCAGUGCAGGUCAACUUGUCAUAUUUUCUUGUAGAAGGAAUGACUAUAAGUCUACAAUAUCUGAAGUUUCUUUUCCCUUCGUUCUCCUAGUGUUUCAUAGAAUAUAGGAUAUGUGAGUCACCAACUAGUAUCAUUUAGGUAAUUAGCCUAGAAAUCUUUAGAAGGAGCCAUAUGGCCAAGGGACAUACAAUUUAUGUAUUCUAUGUUUUGCGGUUUGCCAAAUAUGUUAAUUAAAACAAAGAAAACUUCAAGCUCUGCCCGUAUUUCCCUUUUUAUAAUUAAAUGAAAUUCUUA